rnacentral:rRNA from 1 species
GAUGAACGCUAGCUACAGGCUUAACACAUGCAAGUCGAGGGGUAGCACGGAGGAAGCUUGCUUCCUUGGGUGACGACCGGCGCACGGGUGAGUAACGCGUACCCGACCUACCCAUAACUCGGGCACAGCCGCUCGAAAGAGUGAUUGAUUCCCGAUAUGUCCUUGGAGUAGAUUCAAUGAUGAAAGAUUUAUCGGUUAUGGAUGGGGAUGCGUAAGAUUAGGUAGUAGGCGGGGUAACGGCCCACCUAGCCGACGAUCUUUAGGGGUUCUGAGAGGAAGGUCCCCCACACUGGUACUGAGACACAGACCAGACUCCUACGGGAGGCAGCAGUGAGGAAUAUUGGUCAAUGGGCGGAAGCCUGAACCAGCCAAGUAGCGUGAAGGAUUACAGCCCUACGGGCUUUAAACUUCUUUUAUAUAAGAGUAAUGUGCACUACGUGUAGUGUAUUGCAAGUAUUAUAUGAAUAAGCAUCGGCUAACUCCGUGCCAGCCGCCGCGGUAAAAC